UGUGGCUCCUGUUCUGCGGCGCGGGAAAGAGACGUGUAUGCCUGUGUCGUGCUGGCCUUGGUACACAACAAAUGCGUCAACAAUGGCAAUCUGUGCACAAGCCCUUUGGCCUUAGAAGAGAGAGAGCACAAGCAGGGGAGCGGCGGACAGAGGGAGAGGGAAAAGCAGACUC